rnacentral:rRNA from 1 species
AAUCAACGCUGGCGGCGUGCCUAACACAUGCAAGUCGAACGCGAAAGUGGAGCAAUCCAUGAGUAGAGUGGCAAACGGGUGAGUAACGCGUGGGCGACCUACCUUCGAGUGGGGGAUAGCCUUCCGAAAGGAGGGCUAAUACCGCAUGACAUCCCGUGUUUGGAUACACGGACAUCAAAGCCGGGGAUCGUAAGACCUGGCGCUUGAAGAGGGGCCCGCGUCCGAUUAGCUAGUUGGUGAGGUAACGGCUCACCAAGGCUCCGAUCGGUAUCCGGCCUGAGAGGGCGGACGGACACACUGGAACUGAGACACGGUCCAGACUCCUACGGGAGGCAGCAGUGGGAAUUGUUCGCAAUGGGCGCAAGCCUGACGACGCAACGCCGCGUGGAGGAUGAAGACUUU